GAUGAACGCUGGCGGCGUGCCUAAUACAUGCAAGUCGAGCGAACGGACGAGAAGCUUGCUUCUCUGAUGUUAGCGGCGGACGGGUGAGUAACACGUGGAUAACCUACCUAUAAUACUUGGAUAACUUCGGGAAACCGGAGCUAAUACCGGAUCAUAUUUUGAACCGCAUGGUUCAAAAGUUCAAGACGGUCUUGCUGUCACUUAUAGAUGGAUCCGCGCUGCAUUAGCUAGUUGGUAAGGUAACGGCUUACCAAGGCAACGAUGCAUAGCCGACCUGAGAGGGUGAUCGGCCACACUGGAACUGAGACACGGUCCAGACUCCUACGGGAGGCAGCAGUAGGGAAUCUUCCGCAAUGGGCGAAAGCCUGACGGAGCAACGCCGCGUGAGUGAUGAAGGUCUUCGGAUCGUAAAACUCUGUUAUUAGGGAAGAACAUAUGUGUAAGUAACUGUGCACAUCUUGACGGUACCUAAUCAGAAAGCCACGGCUAACUACGUG
rnacentral:rRNA from 1 species